GACAGAGGGUGCAAACGUUGUUCGGAAUUACUGGGCGUAAAGCGUGUGUAGGCGGUCUCUUAAGUCGGAUGUGAAAGCCCCGGGCUCAACCCGGGAAGUGCACUCGAAACUGGGAGGCUAGAGUACUGGAGAGGUUGGUGGAAUUCUCGGUGUAGAGGUGAAAUUCGUAGAUAUCGAGAGGAACACCGGUGGCGAAGGCAGCCUCCUGGGCCAGCACUGACGCUCAUGCACGAAAGCGUGGGGAGCAAACAGG
rnacentral:rRNA from 1 species